AGUGUAAGGAUACUCACCGUGUUCGUCGUGCAGUCCUCCAUCCGAGUGGGAUCCGACGCGCAGUGCAUGUCACGACCAGAAUGUCACGACGCAUUGUGGCGACAUUGUGGGGCACUUGUGGGUCUCUCUAUCAACAUACUUGAUCCUUCCUGAACAAGAAAUAAACAAUACAAAACACCUUGGAUGUCUCCGUGUCAUGAUUUCACAGUCCAAUAUUCAAGCAGAAAAUGUAACAAACGCAAAGUCAUGUUUUCUAGAAACACCAUUUAAAGAGAAGAUAGAACCUAACUCUGCUGGGGUCCAAAAGGGCUCCUCCAUCUUGAACAAAAUAAGGGCCAGUACCUUUAUAUUAAUAGACAACUAAGGUUAAUCAUGAGUACUUGCUGCAAAGUCCAUUGUGGAUCAAGAAAUGGACACUUCUUCCCACCCAAAAUUGUACAAGGCCACUGGAUUCCAAAACCCAGAAACAGUUUGACGGAACCGUUACUUUUUUUUAAUGUGACCGCAAUUUAUUUGACCCAACCGUGACUUUUUCCUCACUGCAGCCGUUUUGCAAAAAAGUUCACCAUUGAAAAUGUAGAAUUUCGCAGCGAAUCCAUGUCUGGCGAAAACUUUUGCUCAUCACCAUCCAUGUAUUUUUAAAUAUCUGUAUAUGUGACAACGUGAAACUGCAAUACUUUACAGUUUGGUGGGGGAUAGUAUAUUUGAAAGGCUUACAAUAUUUUUUAAACAUUGACACAUCUUGACCAAUGCUUGAGUCACAAAGUGGGUUUAAACCCAAAAAGUUGAUCAGAUGUCCGAAGGCUGGUUCCUGAUUAAACUGACCUUAAUGUGUUUUGAAUGUAAUAGGGCCACUGGUGUAGGGUCUUAUAAAUGAUUAAACACUCUCUGUAAAGCACUGUAAAA